rnacentral:lncRNA from 1 species
CUUUUCAAUUUCGAUAUUCACCCAUUAAAUGCAUGUUCUUCCUCGUUCUCUAUCGUAUUCACAUAUUACAUGUAUGCUCUAUAGCAACAAACUUCUGUCAGUAUGUCGUAAAUGCAACCAUUCAAUAACGUAAUGCUACAAAUUCAUUUUACUUAAACAAAAUACUAAUUGCUCCCGGCCAUAAGCCCUUUGCGCUAAUUUGGCGUAAACAGCCACCAAAACUGGUCAUUGGGACAAUAGUGCAUCUGCACCUCAGCUGUGUUUUGUCAAAUUUUAAAUUCUUUCUUAUUCUGUCAUCUACAUCUACAACACUUCUCACAGCAACAUGCUCGCCGCCCUUCCCUAGACCCACAUACUGCAGACUCGAGGCAGAGACAGCGACCGCACACAAAAAAUAAACCUAUAUAAGCUGCGGGACGGGUUGGGUUAAAAUGGGAAUGAGAGAAUGUAAAAAGAACAACAAAAGCUGUGGACAGGGUGGCUUUAGCCACUGGAAAUUAGUUUCUCCACUGUGGCUAUAAUAAUGAUCCGAUCGGAUCCCAACUUGGUGAUCUGAUAGAUAUGGCCAUUUCCUACGGAAUGUCGUUUAGAUUUCUUUUCUCUUCAAAAUUGUAGAUUUGGGAGGUUUUCGCCCUUUUGCGGGGGGCGGAAGGGGGCGUGGGUCAUUUUUGAAAUGCACUGGUUUCAGUGUGAGCAAACAGCAGUCCGGAGCCAAAAUUUGGUGGCUCUAGCUCUUAUAGUCUCUAAGAACUAGCCGACAAACAAGACGGACAGACGGACAGACAGACAUGGCUCUAUCGAUUCGGCUAUUGAUGCUGAUCAAGAAUAUCCAUACUUUAUGAGGUCGGAAACGCUUCCUUUUGCUCGUUACAUACAACCGUUAUUCCACACAAAUACAAUAUACCCUAUUUACUCUUCGAGUACCGGGUAUAAAAA